rnacentral:tRNA from 1 species
GGGAAUAUGGCUAAGCUGUUAGCGCGCUUGCAUGGCAUGCAAGAGGUCAGCGGUUAGCUCCCGCUUACCUCCA